rnacentral:lncRNA from 1 species
CCGCGUGCAGGCUGCAUGCUUAGGAAGAAAGGCUUGGAGAGGUUGAGAGGCCUAUGGAGGGUAACACUGCCCUCUGGAAUUCUGACCACAGGAUCUUUUUCCUUCUGCCAGAGAUGGCCUAUUUAGGUUCUUCCUGAUGCCCUCAAGACAUUUCCCAGCAGGUUCCCCCAGCUGUUUCCCGCAGAGACACCACCUUCCAUCUCUCUCUGUGCUUCCAUGGCAGGGGCCCUCCCACUCAGUGGGACUGUGCACAGUGACAGGGAAGAAACGCCUGAGGUUUUUCAGUCUGUCCCUUGCUCCUCACUCCUCCCCCCCAGGCUGGAAAAAUGGUUGAGUAUUCCCACCCCGAAAAGUACAAGAGGAAAUGCACCCCAGCCUUGCUCCAGGUCUUCCCUCUCCCCAGCCAAACCCCUGUCCCACUUGGGAUGGAAUUUUCCACCCUUGUUGAGGGGAGCAGAAGGGCAGAAGCGAGGUAAACAGAACCCCCCACCUCCCGAGUGAGAAGGGCUGGCCCAGGGAGUCGGCCGUGACUCUCACUGGAUAGUGAUCACAUUUACUCAGGUUCAAGGGCCACUCAAAGCAGUGCCCCCAAGGCUCUGCUGUGGGUCAUUUCUAGUCACUCUUGCAUGUCCACCACAUCAUCUGUCGUCCAACGUGAUCCAUUCCUCGUCUCUACCUCCCUCCUCUGCUUCUCCCUCAGUUCAGACCCGACUGUCCUGACCCACACUGUUGGGUUUUGUUACAUGGUUUUCCCACAAGCAUAUCCAGUGUCCUCAACUUCUCAGUCAGUUCCUGCUUCUGAUUUCUUAUCCGCGCAAACGGCACUCCCUGCGCUAAGAGCUCAAGCCACAAACCUGGUAUCCGUUGGCCUUAAUUUCUCCAUUUCCCCUGUAUCAGCUACCAACUGUUUGGUAACAAGUCAACGUGACGUGAGUGGUUUAAACCAAAUUGCUCCUUAUUUCUCACGGAUCUUCUGGUUUCAGGGCUUGCUCAUGUGGCUCCCUUGAGCAGGGAGUUGUCUGGAAGGUCUGACUGGUUCUUUCAGGCGCCACCCAGAAACAGUGCCUAGACGCUCACGGUGUAUUAGCCAGAGUCAGCCCCACGAGCACACCCCAGAGGCUCAGGAAGUGCAGUUUCACAAGCCGGGUCAGAGGAGCCCCAGAUAUGGGUGGCAGGUGAAUCUCCCGUGGUUCCCCAUGCCUUGUCUUGGCCACCCAUCUUCCAUCCUGUCCCACACAAACCAGCCCCAUUCUCUUGCCCACUGACCUUCGAUGGCUCCCAUGGCCCCAGGAAAGAGUCUGCUUUCCAUCAUGAUGUUCAGUGGUCUUCAUGAGUCAUUCCAGCUUCACGUCUCGCACAGGCCUGGUGAACACUGAGCCCCGCCCGCUGGACCGCCGGCCUUCCCAGGCCUCUAGUCAUUCCUGUCUGUUGCUCAUGCGGGCCUGUCUGCCAGGAGUGUCCAACCCGGGCGGGUGUCGCUCAUCCAGCAUUGUCCAGUCCUCCGUGACUCGGGUCUCAGCAGCCUCUCCUCACGCGCGCCGUUCCUGGCCUGUGCAAUCGACUGCUUUCCCUUUUCCUGAAUACAGUGUGUUCCAAAAGCCUGGGCAUACUUUUCUAUCCUGAUAACUUCCAAAGUAUGACUGCUAGGAACACAAAAACCAGCACUUGGAAUUUCGUGCAAAUUUCCUUUACACUUACUUAGGUUCAUGAAUUUGAAACACUAAAUUUAAAUUAUUUUAUGAAUUUCAGUCCCUUUGGUUUUGAAGUAGUCCCCCAAAGACCUUUACCAUAAUCAAGCUUCUCCAGGAACCAUGAUUAAACUUCUUGUCAGCAAGAUCUUCACAAAGAAUGUCAGCAGGAUUUCUGCAGAGAGCAUUGUGAUUUGUUGUUUCUUUUCUUUUUUCUUCUUCUUUUUUUUUUUUUGGUAAAUGCCAGAUUUGCAGACAAAAGUCAUGAUAGACUGUCUCAGGGGAGUUUGCUGUGCAAAAGUCGCCGUCUCUUUUUCCAUGGUAAAAACGUAUGAAACCUCUGUCAGACCUAAAAUAUGGGACAAAGAGUAACUGUUCUGUGCCCACCCACUGUCGUACACCCACCCCAUGAGCAUACAUCUGAAAGAAUCAACAGAUUCAGGGUUCAGAGAUGAGCCCCUCUGGAACAUCACAGCUUAAGUAAACCUCUUUCCUGAAAGAUUUCUCAGGUGUGCAGCCUCAUCUCUCCUAAUCACUGUAAGAUGGUGAAUAAGACUGAAACAACAAAUGUAUCUUCAUUGUUCUAAGUUUACAAACGACAUGUGAAAGACUUAAAUUGAAAAAUGAUUUUAAAAAAGUUAGAAAAUGAUAGAGAGUAAAACGUG